CCUACGGGAGGCAGCAGUGAGGAAUAUUGGUCAAUGGACGAGAGUCUGAACCAGCCAAGUAGCGUGAAGGAUGACUGCCCUAUGUGUUGUAAACUUCUUUUAUAUGGGAAUAAAAUGUUCCACGUGUGGGAUUUUGUAUGUACCAUAUGAAUAAGGAUCGGCUAACUCCGUGCCAGCAGCCGCGGUAAUACGGAGGAUCCGAGCGUUAUCCGGAUUUAUUGGGUUUAAAGGGAGCGUAGGUGGAUUGUUAAGUCAGUUGUGAAAGUUUGCGGCUCAACCGUAAAAUUGCAGUUGAAACUGGCAGUCUUGAGUACAGUAGAGGUGGGCGGAAUUCGUGGUGUAGCGGUGAAAUGAUUAGAUAUCACGAAGAACUCCGAUUGCGAAGGCAGCUUACUGGACUGCAACUGACACUGAGGCUCGAAAGUGUGGGUAUCAAACAGGAUUAGAUACCCCUGUAGUC
rnacentral:rRNA from 1 species